UACGUAGGGGGCUAGCGUUGUCCGGAAUCAUUGGGCGUAAAGCGCGCGUAGGCGGCCCGGUAAGUCCGUUGUGAAAGUCAAAGGCUCAACCUUUGAACGCCGAUGGAUACUGCCGGGCUAGAGUCCGGAAGAGGCGAGUGGAAUUCCUGGUGUAGCGGUGGAAUGCGCAGAUAUCAGGAGGAACACCAAUGGCGAAGGCAGCUCGCUGGGACGGUACUGACGCUGAGGCGCGAAAGCGUGGGGAGCGAACAGG
rnacentral:rRNA from 1 species